rnacentral:rRNA from 1 species
UACAGAGGUCUCAAGCGUUGUUCGGAUUCAUUGGGCGUAAAGGGUGCGUAGGUGGUGAUGCAAGUCUGGUGUGAAAUCUCGGAGCUCAACUCCGAAACUGCAUUCGAUACUGGCGUGCUUGAGGACUGGAGAGGAGACUGGAAUUCAUGGUGUAGCAGUGAAAUGCGUAGAGAUCAUGAGGAAGACCAGUGGCGAAGGCGGGUCUCUGGACAGUUCCUGACACUGAGACACGAAGGCCAGGGGAGCAAACGGG